CUGUCUCUUGCUUCAACCAUGUUUGGAUGGAAUAG
rfam:Ailuropoda melanoleuca scaffold1129_75, whole genome shotgun sequence.